UACGGGGGGAGCAAGCGUUGUUCGGAUUUACUGGGCGUAAAGGGCGCGUAUGGCGGUCAGCACAAGUCAGUUGUGAAAUCUCCGGGGCUUAACUCGGAACGGUCAACUGAUACUGUGCGACUAGAGUGCAGAAGGGGCAACUGGAAUUCUCGGUGUAGCAGUGAAAUGCGUAGAUAUCAGGAGGAAUACCGAUGGCGAAGGCAGGUCUCUGGGCUGACACUGACGCUCAUGCACGAAAGGCGUGGGG
rnacentral:rRNA from 1 species